rnacentral:rRNA from 1 species
UACGAAGGGGGCUAGCGUUGCUCGGAAUCACUGGGCGUAAAGCGCACGUAGGCGGCUCUUUAAGUCGGGGGUGAAAUCCUGGAGCUCAACUCCAGAACUGCCUUCGAUACUGAGGAUCUCGAGUCCGGGAGAGGUGAGUGGAACUCCGAGUGUAGAGGUGAAAUUCGUAGAUAUUCGCAAGAACACCAGUGGCGAAGGCGGCUCACUGGCCCGAUACUGACGCUGAGGCACGAAAGCGUGGGGAGCAAACAGG